rnacentral:rRNA from 1 species
CCUACGGGGGGCACCAGUGGGGAAUAUUGCACAAUGGGCGCAAGCCUGAUGCAGCCAUGCCGCGUGUAUGAAGAAGGCCUUCGGGUUGUAAAGUACUUUCAGCGGGGAGGAAGGCGAUAAGGUUAAUAACCUUGUCGAUUGACGUUACCCGCAGAAGAAGCACGGGCUAACUCCGUGCCAGCAGCCGCGGUAAUACGGAGGGUGCAAGCGUUAAUCGGAAUUACUGGGCGUAAAGCGCACGCAGGCGGUCUGUCAAGUCGGAUGUGAAAUCCCCGGGCUCAACCUGGGAACUGCAUUCGAAACCGGCAGGCUAGAGUCUUGUAGAGGGGGGUAGAAUUCCAGGUGAAGCGGUGAAAUGCGUAGAGAUCUGGAGGAGUACCGGUGGCGAAGGCGGCCCCCUGGACAAAGACUGACGCUCAGGUGCGAAAUCGUGGCGAGCAAACAGUAUUAGAUACCCGGGUAGUC